GACGAACGCUGGCGGCAUGCUUAACACAUGCAAGUCGAACGGGACUUAUUGGAUAGAGGUUUCGGCCAAUUGAAAAUAAGUUUAGUGGCGGACGGGUGAGUAACGCGUGAGCAACCUGCCUUUCAGAGGGGGGACAACAGUUGGAAACGACUGCUAAUACCGCAUGACGCAUAGAGAUCGCAUGGUCUUUAUGCCAAAGAUUUAUCGCUGAAAGAUGGGCUCGCGUCUGAUUAGCUAGAUGGCGGGGUAACGGCCCACCAUGGCGACGAUCAGUAGCCGGUCUGAGAGGAUGAACGGCCACAUUGGGACUGAGAUACGGCCCAGACUCCUACGGGAGGCAGCAGUGGGGGAAUAUUGGGCAAUGGGGGAAACCCUGACCCAGCAACGCCGCGUGAAGGAGAAGGCU
rnacentral:rRNA from 1 species